AUACGGAGGAUGCGAGCGUUAUCCGGAUUUAUUGGGUUUAAAGGGUGCGCAGGCGGGCGAUUAAGUCAGCGGUGAAAGGCUCGGGCUCAACCGGAGCAGUGCCGUUGAUACUGGUUGUCUUGAAUGCGGUCAAGGCCGGCGGAAUGUGGCGUGUAGCGGUGAAAUGCAUAGAUAUGCCACAGAACACCGAUAGCGAGGGCAGCUGGCCGGGCCUGCAUUGACGCUGAGGCACGAAAGCGUGGGGAUCGAACAGGAUUAGAUACCCUGGUAGUCCGCACGGUAAACGAUGGAUGCCCGCUGUUUGCCAUUUUGGUAAGCGGCCAAGCGAAAGCAUUAAGCAUCCCACCUGGGGAGUACGCCGGCAACGGUGAAACUCAAAUGAAUUGACGGGG
rnacentral:rRNA from 1 species